CCCAGGUCCCAUAUGGUUUGUGGUUUUAUAUGGGUCUGGCCUGCCCACUGAUGUUUAAAAUUAAAGGGCCGCGGUAUUCUGACCGUGCGAAGGUAGCAUAAUAAUUAGUCUCCUAAUUAGAGGCUUGUAUGAAUGGUCGGACAAGAUGGAAACUGUCUCUACACAAAAAAUAAAAUUUAAUUUUUAAGUAAAAAAGCUUAAAUGUAAUGGAGGGACGAUAAGACCCUAUAAAGCUUUAUAAUAUUUUUCUUUCUUAUAAAUUAUAUUGUUAUUAACAUAUUUUAGAAUUUGUAUUAUUUUACUGGGGCGGUAAAAGUAUAAUAAAAUAACUGCUUUUAUUUUGUAUAACAAUCUUAAUUGGUAAUAAAUUGAUCCAUUAUUAAUGAUUAUAAGAACAAGUUACUUUAGGGAUAACAGCGUAAUUUCUUUUGAGAGUUCUUAUCGAAAAAAAGAGUUUUCGACCUCGAUUAAUUAAGGUGCCUAGGGUCACAGUUUAAGCAG
rnacentral:rRNA from 1 species